GACGAACGCUGGUGGCGCGCUUAACACAUGCAAGUCGAACGGAAAGGCCCUGCUUUUGUGGGGUGCUCGAGUGGCGAACGGGUGAGUAACACGUGAGUAACCUGCCCUUGACUUUGGGAUAACUUCAGGAAACUGGGGCUAAUACCGGAUAGGAGCUCCUGCUGCAUGGUGGGGGUUGGAAAGUUUCGGCGGUUGGGGAUGGACUCGCGGCUUAUCAGCUUGUUGGUGGGGUAGUGGCUUACCAAGGCUUUGACGGGUAGCCGGCCUGAGAGGGUGACCGGCCACAUUGGGACUGAGAUACGGCCCAGACUCCUACGGGAGGCAGCAGUGGGGAAUAUUGCACAAUGGGCGGAAGCCUGAUGCAGCAACGCCGCGUGCGGGAUGACGGCCUUCGGGUUGUAAACCGCUUUCGCCUGUGACGAAGCGUGAGUGACGGUAAUGGGUAAAGAAGCACCGGCUAACUACGUGCCAGCAGCCGCGGUGAUACGUAGGGUGCGAGCGUUGUCCGGAUUUAUUGGGCGUAAAGGGCUCGUAGGUGGUUGAUCGCGUCGGAAGUGUAAUCUUGGGGCUUAACCCUGAGCGUGCUUUCGAUACGGGUUGACUUGAGGAAGGUAGGGGAGAAUGGAAUUCCUGGUGGAGCGGUGGAAUGCGCAGAUAUCAGGAGGAACACCAGUGGCGAAGGCGGUUCUCUGGGCCUUUCCUGACGCUGAGGAGCGAAAGCGUGGGGAGCGAACAGGCUUAGAUACCCUGGUAGUCCACGCUGUAAACGGUGGGUACUAGGUGUGGGGUCCAUUCCACGGGUUCCGUGCCGUAGCUAACGCUUUAAGUACCCCGCCUGGGGAGUACGGCCGCAAGGCUAAAACUCAAAGGAAUUGACGGGGCCCCGCACAAGCGGCGGAGCAUGCGGAUUAAUUCGAUGCAACGCGUAGAACCUUACCUGGGUUUGACAUGGAUCGGGAGUGCUCAGAGAUGGGUGUGCCUCUUUUGGGGUCGGUUCACAGGUGGUGCAUGGCUGUCGUCAGCUCGUGUCGUGAGAUGUUGGGUUAAGUCCCGCAACGAGCGCAACCCUUGUUCACUGUUGCCAGCACGUUAUGGUGGGGACUCAGUGGAGACCGCCGGGGUCAACUCGGAGGAAGGUGGGGAUGACGUCAAGUCAUCAUGCCCCUUAUGUCCAGGGCUUCACGCAUGCUACAAUGGCUGGUACAGAGAGUGGCGAGCCUGUGAGGGUGAGCGAAUCUCGGAAAGCCGGUCUCAGUUCGGAUUGGGGUCUGCAACUCGACCUCAUGAAGUCGGAGUCGCUAGUAAUCGCAGAUCAGCAACGCUGCGGUGAAUACGUUCCCGGGGCU
rnacentral:rRNA from 1 species